GAUGAACGCUGGCGGCGUGCUUAACACAUGCAAGUCGAACGAAGCACUUAUCUUUGAUUCUUCGGAUGAAGAGGUUUGUGACUGAGUGGCGGACGGGUGAGUAACGCGUGGGUAACCUGCCUCAUACAGGGGGAUAACAGUUAGAAAUGACUGCUAAUACCGCAUAAGACCACGGAGCCGCAUGGCUCAGUGGGAAAAACUCCGGUGGUAUGAGAUGGACCCGCGUCUGAUUAGGUGGUUGGUGGGGUAACGGCCUACCAAGCCAACGAUCAGUAGCCGACCUGAGAGGGUGACCGGCCACAUUGGGACUGAGACACGGCCCAAACUCCUACGGGAGGCAGCAGUGGGGAAUAUUGCACAAUGGGGGAAACCCUGAUGCAGCGACGCCGCGUGAGCGAAGAAGUAUUUCGGUAUGUAAAGCUCUAUCAGCAGGGAAGAAAAUGACGGUACCUGACUAAGAAGCACCGGCUAAAUACGUGCCAGCCGCCGCCGUAA
rnacentral:rRNA from 1 species